rnacentral:lncRNA from 1 species
GGUGAGUAGCAGGCGUUCUGAAGAACAUAGGAGUCUCUAUGUGUUCAGCACGUUAGACCAAUACCAAUAGUUAUCAUGUUUCCUCAAAGGGAUAGUCCUUCACUGGUAGAAAUAUAGGAUGGUGUGAUGGCAAUACACUGCAUUUUGCACAUUCAUGGAGUUUUCAAAUCCCAUUAUGCUUGUAACAUUCAAGCUCUUCAAUUAUUCUUGUCCACAGCACUUGAGAAUGAACUGGAUGCGUUGAUUGCCACAAUCGAGGAGAAGAACAAUGGCAACUGUAAACAGAUUCUUCAGAUCAUUGCACUCCAAAAUCAAGUGACAAGAUUGCAGAGGCAAGAGUUAGAGUUCAAUCAGUCAUCUGAGGCCAAGAUUGCUGAGCUAGAGAAUCAGCUACAGGAGACGAGAGACCAGCUGAAUGAAAAGAAAGACGAGCUGAAAGAAACUGACAGUAGAAUUCCACA